rnacentral:misc_RNA from 1 species
GAUGAAGAACGUAGCGAAAUGCGAUAAGUAGUGUGAAUUGCAGAAUUCAGUGAAUCAUCGAAUCUUUGAACGCACAUUGCGCCCGCCAGCACUCUGGCGGGCGUGCCUGUUCGAGCGUCAUUUCAACCAUCAAGCCCCAGGCUUGCGUUGGAGCCCUGCGGCUGCCGCAGCCUCCUAAAAGCAGUGGCGGGCUCGCUAUCACACCGAGUGCAGUAGAUUACUCUUCGCUCAGGGCGUGCAGCGGGUUCCGGCCGUGAAACCCCCUACUUUUAAAGGUUGACCUCGGAUCAGGUAGGAAUACCCGCUGAACUUAAGCAUAUCAAUAAGCGGAGGA